rnacentral:lncRNA from 1 species
UAAAACAUAUCAUAAUUCCGUAUUCAUUAACAAUAAUUGAUUAUUCCCGUUUCUCAUUUUCAUCAGCCUACUAAUAUCCAUGGAGAUCCAUAGGGGUGUCCCCACUACACGUGAACCAUUCUUCUUAACAAUUUUAAUUCCAGGGCUGUCUCCAUACCUCGUCCGGUAUGAGCACCAAGAUAAUAAACCUCAAUACCCCGUCUGGUAUGAGGAUGAAGCGGGUCGUCCCCUUACCCCGUCCAGUAUGAGCGCCAAAUGACCAAGUCUCCAUACUCCGUCCGGUAUGAGACACGUUCACAGUAGGGUUCCCUAUGAACCCGGUCCGUCCACCAUCUCCCAGG